UGCACUCUGAAGAGCAGCACGAGAAGGGCGGGCUGGUUGUGAGCUGGAUUGGAGCAGAACUGCCAAGUAGCACGAGGUGAGUGCGAAGGGUAUCCAUCUUGCUUUGCAGGUGCCAUGGCAGGCUCUCCAGAGAAGCGGUUGAGGAUUGGAGAAGAGUUUGCAGAUGAUCAAGGAGCGACACGUGCAGGGAUGGCUUGAAAAGGGUGAUUGGCUUCAGGUUCCAGGUGGGACCUAAUGGUAACUGAGUUGCAGGUAUGCCAUGAGAGAGCUCCUUCUGCCUGGGCUGCACUUUUGGGUGGUGUGGAUGAUACUGGCUGCACUGUUGGAGCUUGGACUCGGAGAGGAACACGUGAGCACAAUCGUAUGUUGCAUCAGCAGUAGUCAGCAUUGUGGAGAAGCUCCCUUGCUGGCUGCAGCAGUAUAUUUUGCCCGUAAUUCUGCGUGUGAAGAUCUGAAUGAAGACAACGGAGUCGUAAGUGUUUAAAGCGUAUACUGUUCUGUUGGAUGGGUUUCUGUUGCCUGUGUGUGUAAGAGUGUGACUGAGACGGAAUUGAGUUCCGAAGCGAUUGUGGAGGUCUUCUUUACCACUGUUCCAAUGUUCCGCGAGGGACUUGGCCGGUGAAGGACCGAAGGGAUUCCUAUAGGAUUUGUGGGUGGGUGAUAGAUCUUAAAUCCUCUUUAAGACACUCUUAUUAAGGUAACGAAGGGCUGUGGGAAUCGCCAGAGUAACAUUCCUAGAUGGGUGAGACAAAACCGAAGACCAGGGACCAGAAGAAAGGGAGCAAAUUACCAGACAUACCACCAGAAAGUCCAUUAGGAAUAACGGUUAGAAACUGGAAGGAGAGAGGCCCCAGAAACGUAAAAAGUAAAUAAAAAAUGGUCCAGUAUUGUGUGAUAGAAUGGCCAAAGGAGCCUUUAAGACCGCAUGCCUUUCGGCCCGUUUUAGGAUCCUUUGAAGACUGUAUUUGUCAGGCCUUAAAUACACAUGUUAAUUCGAAGGAACCUUUUGGCCGGGAAGGAAGUGAUUAUGCAGGAUUAUGGAUCAGGAGGACUUCAUGUCCUUUUACAGCCUUAAUAUUUACACUAAAAGCAGGUAAGAAAUUUUGAAGAAGAAGAACAGGAAAAAUAAAAAGAUAAUAAACGGGAGCCGUUGGAUAACCUACCGUCUCCAUAUCGUAACAAUCCAGCUCUGGUGGUGUACUGGGUCUGGCUGGAAUGUUAACUUUCCCAGCAGCAGCCCAUACAGUGCCGUACUCUGUACUUCUAGCUGGAACAGCAGCGUUAUCACACCAGCGUUGUGUCUACUGCUGAGCAGCAGUGGCACAGCAUUGGGCCUUUCUCUAACCCUCCUAGGGGAUGGGCAAAAAGCGAGGAGAGAAACAUCACUAGGGCAGCUGACCUAAACCAACCAAAGGGA